GGGGAUAUCCCAGAUACCCCGCUGGCAUUACGACAAGUCCCUUUUCCCCCUGCUAGAUGUCACGACUGGUGACACCCCUUAUCUUCUGCCCUCACCCUCUCUCGACAGACUGGUUCGAACUGUCAAGCUGGAAACAUUGCCCCAUUUCUCUUGCUGGGAUAUUGUGUAAUACGGGUGCCGUGCUAGGCCCCGUCGUGUGAAAAAGAAAGACAAACCCUCGUUAAUUAACUAGCGUCUGAAUAAAAUAGGCUUGUGGGCCUUUAUCCCGCAA